CCGUGGUCGCGUCCGCUUACNAGUCGAGCGGAUGACGGGAGCUUGCUCCUUGAUUCAGCGGCGGACGGGUGAGUAAUGCCUAGGAAUCUGCCUGGUAGUGGGGGACAACGUUCCGAAAGGAGCGCUAAUACCGCAUACGUCCUACGGGAGAAAGUGGGGGAUCUUCGGACCUCACGCUAUCAGAUGAGCCUAGGUCGGAUUAGCUAGUUGGUGAGGUAAAGGCUCACCAAGGCGACGAUCCGUAACUGGUCUGAGAGGAUGAUCAGUCACACUGGAACUGAGACACGGUCCAGACUCCUACGGGAGGCAGCAGUGGGGAAUAUUGGACAAUGGGCGAAAGCCUGAUCCAGCCAUGCCGCGUGUGUGAAGAAGGUCUUCGGAUUGUAAAGCACUUUAAGUUGGGAGGAAGGGCAGUAAGUUAAUACCUUGCUGUUUUGACGUUACCGACAGAAUAAGCACCGGCUAACUCUGUGCCAGCAGCCGCGGUAAUACAGAGGGUGCAAGCGUUAAUCGGAAUUACUGGGCGUAAAGCGCGCGUAGGUGGUUCGUUAAGUUGGAUGUGAAAGCCCCGGGCUCAACCUGGGAACUGCAUCCAAAACUGGCGAGCUAGAGUAUGGUAGAGGGUGGUGGAAUUUCCUGUGUAGCGGUGAAAUGCGUAAAUAUAGGAAGGAACACCAGUGGCGAAGGCGACCACCUGGACUGAUACUGACACUGAGGUGCGAAAGCGUGGGGAGGCAACAGGAUUAAA
rnacentral:rRNA from 1 species